ACUAACCAGGAAAUGUUGGCAGUGCUAGAAGCUGCAAUUGGACUAUUUUACUGCUCUCCUUCGACAAUGCCUUAAUCUAGCUAUAAGCCUCAAAGAAAGACUCUACAGAUGCAAAUGUAAGGACCAGAGAAUUAGCCAUGAGAUGGUAGAGGCUGUCCUCCAACCAGUAUGGUCUGAUAUCUACAAAGAAUUCAAAAACUAAGGUCGAGAAAAUACUUUAAAGGAAACAUGUAAAUUGUAAUGAAGAUAAAGAAGAAAUGGAAAGCCUCAGGUACAAUGGCAGUGAUUGUUAAUAAAUAACCAUUAACAAAGGUUUCCAGAAAUUAAUCAGCCCAGAUGGGCAUGGCAACCACUUGUGAAGGAAGCCUUCAUAGAAAUGCUUUGCUGCAAGAGUUCUGGGAAAUGCUGGGUGUCAUACACUGGUAAGAGGAACAUAAAAUUGGUACCUUUCCAUAGGAUAAUUCUCAAUGUGAGUUAAGAGGCUUACAGGUAUUUAUAUUCUGUGGUGUAAUAAUUCCA